ACGGGGAGCAGCAGGCGCGAAACCUUUACACUGCACGAGAGUGCGAUGAGGGGACCCCGAGUGCGAGGGCAUACAGUCCUCGCUUUUGUACACCGUAGGGAGGUGUACGAAUAAGAGCUGGGCAAGACCGGUGCCAGCCGCCGCGGUAAUACCGGCAGCUCGAGUGAUGGCCGCUGUUAUUGGGCCUAAAGCGUCCGUAGCCGGCCGAACAAGUCCGUCGGGAAAUCCAUCGGCUUAACCGAUGGGCGUCCGGCGGAAACUGUUCGGCUUGGGGCCGGAGGACCCGGGGGUACGUCCGGGGUAGGAGUGAAAUCCCGUAAUCCUGGACGGACCGCCGGUGGCGAAAGCGCCUCGGGAGGACGGACCUGACGGUGAGGGACGAAAGCUAGGGUCACGAACCGGAUUAUAUACCCGGGUAGUCCUAGCCGUAAACGAUGCCCGCUAGGUGUGGC
rnacentral:rRNA from 1 species